rnacentral:lncRNA from 1 species
UACACCCGCUCUCCCCAUUUAGCUCACAGAACCAGUCCCCCAUCUGCUCAGCCUCCUCUUCUUCUCCACUCCUUCACUCAAUCUCACCUCCACGCCAUCUCCCCUUCAUCUUCCUCACCAAGACCAUCAAGAAUCAACUCCACCCUACUCCACCGAACCCUUCUCAACACCAGAACUCAUUUCACGACAACCUCAUCACCUCUCCAAUCUCACCAUCAGCCCCCAGGAGCACCAUCCAUACC